rnacentral:rRNA from 1 species
AUGCAAAUUCUAGUUCAUACAUUUUAAACGUGAGACUGUGGACGGCUCAGUAAAUCAGUUAUAAUCUGCUCGAUUGUAAAGGUUAUUGGAUAACCGUGGGAAAUCUAGAGCUAAUACAUGCACGGCUCGGCGUAUGUUCGCAUGCGCCGAUUGCAUUUAUUAGAGCAAUCCAACCGAGUGAGCAAUCACUCGUGGUGAAUCUAGAUAACUGCGCAGAUCGUAUGGCCUUGAGCUGACGACAUUUCGAUUGAAUUUCUGCCCUAUCAACUAUGUUGGCAGUUUAGUGGACUGCCAAGGUUUUUACGGGUAACGGGGGAUCAGGGUUCGAUUCCGGAGAGGGAGCCUGAGAAACGGCUACCACAUCCAAGGAAGGCAGCAGGCGCGCAAAUUACCCAAUCCAGACAAUGGGAGGUGGUGACGACAAGUACCGGUGGGCGGCACUGCCGCCAGACUGGAAUGAAAACAAUAUAACAUACCUGAAAUGAGUAACGACUGGAGGGCAAGUCUGGUGCCAGCAGCCGCGGUAAUUCCAGCUCCAGUAGCGUAUCUCAAAGUUGCUGCGCUUAAAACGCUCGUAGUUGGAUCACUCACUGCGCAGUAGUGUGCGCGGUAGCAUGCAUAUUACACACCUGUGCCAUACGUUGUGUUCUCAUGACGUCACUGGCUGGUGGUGCAUUGCAACUGAAGCAGUAAGCUAUUGUGUAGUAAUUGCACGUGAGGAUGGCAGUUGACCUUUGGUGUGUUGAUUGUCGUGUCUCACGGGGUGUGCCUUGAGUAAAUCAGAGUGCUUAAAGCAGGCGUUACGCUUGAAUGUUAUUAGCAUGGAACGAACAAUCGUGUACGGUGUGUACUGAUUACGAUGUGCAGAACUUGUUCCCAUGUCGCAGUACACGACACCGACCACCAAUUACGGAUGUUGGUUCCGUAUUGGGGUACUGAUUAAGAGGAGCGGUUGGGGGCAUUGGUAUUUGGCAGCGAGAGGUGAAAUUCUUGGACCUGCCAAGGACUAACAAAUGCGAAGGCAUCUGUCCAGACCGUAUCUAUUAAUCAAGAACGAAAGAGAGAGGUUCGAAGACGAUCAGAUACCGUCCUAGUUCUCUCUGUAAACGAUGCCGACCCGGGAUCAGCUUAAGGGUUAUUCCUACGCUCGAGGUUGGUCCCCCUGGGAAACCUAAAGUUUUUCGGUUGCGGGGGGAGUAUGGUCGCAAGGCUGAAACUUAAAGGAAUUGACGGAAGGGCACCACCAGGGGUGGAGCCUGCGGCUUAAUUUGACUCAACACGGGAAAACUUACCUAGUCCGGACAUCAAAAGGAUAAACAGACUAAAAGCUCUUUUUUGAUAUGAUGAUUGGUGGUGCAUGGCCGUUCUUAGUUCGUGGAGUGAUCUGUCAGGCCAAUUCCGGUAACGAACGAGACCACAUUCUCCAUUUGACGAGCUGAAGCAGAUGCUGGUCGUGCUUGUGACUGGCAACAGUUGCAUUCCCGGUCAGAAUUGUAGGCAUGGUUAGCGAAAUGUGCUCCCUCGGGAGUCUGUCACGCGAAACUACUCCCUUCAGUGUAACAGUGUUCAAUCCGCAAGGGUUGCGUAUUGUAUCAUGGAGAGACAACGGAAUAUAUAUAAAAAUCCGAGGAAGUGUGGCUAUAACAGGUCUGUGAUGCCCUUAGAUGUUUAGGGCUGCACGCGCGCUACAAUGGCAGCGACAACGAGUGUCUGGAUUGAAAGAUUCCGGGUAAUCUUGAAAUCGCUGCCGUGAUGGGGAUCGACGUUUGUAAAUACGUCGUGAAAGAGGAAUCCCUAGUACGUGUGAUUCAUGAAAUCGCGCGGAUUUAGUCCCUGCCCUUUGUACACACCGCCCGUCGCUACUACCGAGCGAAUGGUGUCAUAAUACCUUGGGAGCGGAUGUCACAACGGGCGUAUGUUCGGAGUGACACUGCGAUCAGCGUAAAAUGGCGCAAUUCGA